UACACGUUACUCUAGGACCCUUGCAAAUGAAAGUCUUAAGAGCUCUACAAUGAUUUGUGAAGAAAAUUAAAGACACACAAUUUAUAGGAAGAAAAUUUAUAGGAAGAAAAAUUUCAGAGUAUAAAAAGAAAAUGAAAUGGGCGGCCAUCUUCUCCCCACUGGAUGCUCUUUGUUUUGGAAAAAUCUCUUCAGGAUGCUUCAUUAUUGGCUGGGCUCACUUCUGAAACCCCUGGGGAAAAGGAGCCAGAGAGAAGUUAUCAUUCAAGACCUGAAAUGGAAGAGAAGAAAAAAAAAAAAAAGAAGAAGAAGAAAGUGGAAGGAAAGAAGGAAGAAAACAGCCAAUUAUUCAUUCAUUAAGUAUACACACCAAGUAUGUGUCUGGUUCCAUAAAGAUAAGAUUAAUAUCCAAUGUUUUCUUUCUGUAGUCUCAUUGCUUUGUUGUUUUCAUUGUUCAGUAGCUAAUUUGUGCCUGUUCUUUGUGACCUCAUGGAUUGCAGCAUGCCAAGCUGGACUUGAUCAUUGG
rnacentral:lncRNA from 1 species